rnacentral:rRNA from 1 species
AGCAGCCGCGGUAAUUCCAGCUCCAAUAGCGUAUAUUAAAGUUGUUGCAGUUAAAAAGCUCGUAGUUGAACUUCGGGGUUUACCCAUUGGUCAGGCUUAAUUGUCUGUACUGGUGAGAUAAAUCUCUACCUUCUGAGGAACUUUCAUGUCAUUAAUUUGGUGUGAUUGGAAAUCAGGACUGUUACUUUGAAAAAUUGAGUGUUUAAAGCAGGCUAACGUCUGAAUACAUUAGCAUGGAAUAAUGAAAUAGGACGGACUGAUUCUAUUUCGUUGGUUUCUAGGAUCACCGUAAUGAUUAAUAGGGAUAGUUGGGGGCAUUAGUAUUCAAUUGUCAGAGGUGAAAUUCUUGGAUUUAUUGAAGACUAACUACUGCGAAAGCAUUUGCCAAGGAUGUUUUCAUUAAUCAAGAACGAAAGUUAGGGGGUCGAAGACGAUCAGAUACCGUCGUAGUCUUAACCAUAAACUAUGCCGACUAGGGAUCGGAACGAAGUUAAUUUAUAAUGACGCGUUCGCUACCUUA